rnacentral:rRNA from 1 species
AACGAACGCUGGCGGCAGGCCUAACACAUGCAAGUCGAGCGCCCCGCAAGGGGAGCGGCGGACGGGUGAGUAACGCGUGGGAACGUACCCUUUGCUACGGAAUAGCCUCGGGAAACUGGGAGUAAUACCGUAUGUGCCCUUCGGGGGAAAGAUUUAUCGGCAAAGGAUCGGCCCGCGUUGGAUUAGGUAGUUGGUGGGGUAAUGGCCUACCAAGCCGACGAUCCAUAGCUGGUUUGAGAGGAUGAUCAGCCACACUGGGACUGAGACACGGCCCAGACUCCUACGGGAGGCAGCAGUGGGGAAUCUUAGACAAUGGGCGCAAGCCUGAUCUAGCCAUGCCGCGUGAGCGAUGAAGGCCCUAGGGUUGUAAAGCUCUUUCAGUGGGGAAGAUAAUGACUGUACCCACAGAAGAAGCCCCGGCUGACUCCGUGCCAGCCGCCGCGGUAA